AUUGAACGCUGGCGGCAUGCCUUACACAUGCAAGUCGAACGGCAGCACGGGUGCUUGCCCCUGGUGGCGAGUGGCGAACGGGUGAGUAAUACAUCGGCACAUGUCCUGUCGUGGGGGAUAGCCCGGCGAAAGCCGGAUUAAUACCGCAUACGAACUACGGAUGAAAGCGGGGGCCCUUCGGGCCUCGCGCUAUAGGGUUGGCCGGUGGCGGAUUAGCUAGUUGGUGGGGUAAAGGCCUACCAAGGCGACGAUCAGUAGCUGGUCUGAGAGGACGACCAGCCACACUGGGACUGAGACACGGCCCAGACUCCUACGGGAGGCAGCAGUGGGGAAUUUUGGACAAUGGGCGAAAGCCUGAUCCAGCAAUGCCGCGUGUGUGAAGAAGGCCUUCGGGUUGUAAAGCACUUUUGUCCGGAAAGAAAUCCUUGGCCCUAAUACGGUCGGGGGAUGACGGUACCGGAAGAAUAAGCACCGGCUAACUACGUG
rnacentral:rRNA from 1 species